GGGGAAUAUUGGGCAAUGGACGCAAGUCUGACCCAGCAACGCCGCGUGAAGGAAGAAGGCUUUCGGGUUGUAAACUUCUUUUAAGGGGGAAGAGUAGAAGACGGUACCCCUUGAAUAAGCCACGGCUAACUACGUGCCAGCAGCCGCGGUAAUACGUAGGGGACAAGCGUUGUCCGGAUUUACUGGGCGUAAAGGGCACGCAGGCGGUUUUUUAAGUCAGAUGUGAAAGGUACCGGCUCAACCGGUGACAUGCAUUUGAAACUGAAAGACUUGAGUAUUGGAGAGGCAAGUGGAAUUCCUAGUGUAGCGGUGAAAUGCGUAGAUAUUAGGAGGAACACCGGUGGCGAAGGCGGCUUGCUGGACAAAUACUGACGCUGAGGUGCGAAAGCGUGGGGAGCAAACA
rnacentral:rRNA from 2 species